CACGUAUUACGACCGACCGACGGACGAUUCUUCAUUUGUAUAUCUUGAAUCAUCUUCUUAUCUUACCCAUCUUCUUAUCUUACCCCUCUCACUUCAUUUUGGCUUUCCAAUUGUCAGCUAUGAGAGCCGUAAUCGAGGCGUCAAUGGGGCUCCCCCUCGAGGACUGCACACCCCUUUGUCGCCGCCACCACGCGACUGAGCUCUGACCUGCGCUAAAGCGGCGUGGGCGUAAGAAACACUCUACUCGAAAGGAGGAAUCUUGAUGAAGGAAAGGAAGCCUUUACUCCUACUAUGUCUACGGCUUUAUCUAGCUAGACGACUGCCUCCUACUCGGCCCUUACAAUCUCCCUCCCAGCAUCCAGGCCCUGUGAAAGGACCCAUGUCAGUAAAUCCCACCAUCUGUGGAAAACUCAUUUUCGAAAAGAACAUUUCAAAGGAGAGUCGAGCGAAGGACUUAACGACGUUAGGGGCCUACCAGACCAGAUCACUUCACGGUCGGCAUAAAUGGCUACCCUGAAGGGCCAAAUGAUGUAUACGUCUCAAAAAGAGAAGAGAUACAUGUUCAAGUCGCCCAAAGGAUGGAGCCAGUUGAAUUUGUCGCCAGACAAGGCAGUCAAAGGGAAGCGAUUAUGACCGCGCCCCUUAAACUCGUUUUGGAACCGGAAGAAAAAUAAAAAUUUCCAUUCAUAAUUUUUCUGGUCUUUCCUCAUCACUAUUAUGUACACUGCUCUCCGAGCCUGUUAGUGUAAGUGACGAGGGUAGGAGGAGGAAGAAAUAGUAGGAACGAGGGUGCGAGCAGGAGGAAGUAGAAGAUGGGAGGAUGAGGAGGAAGCACUUGGGGGGCGCUGAGGAGAGAGAGAGAGAGGAAGAAAAAGGCGAGAGGAAGAAAAAGGCGAGAGGAAGAGAAGGAGGUCUGAGCGAGGAGGCGUUAGGGAAGGGAUGAGGUACGUGUGGAGGAGAUAGGGAGGUGUGGGAAAGCUGAGUCAGCUCGUAGAGUUGACGAAGAUAUAAAAGGCGUAGCCUUAGAGUAGAUUAAUGCAUUGCUCCACGCAG
rnacentral:sRNA from 1 species